rnacentral:tRNA from 1 species
GCCUUCUUGGUGUAGUGGUCAGCACGCUUGGCGCGUAUUCAAGAGAUCCGCGGUUCGAGUCCCAGUGAAGGCU